GAUGAACGCUGACAGCAUGCUUAACACAUCAGCAAUUGAUUGGUGGCGGUCGGGUGAGUAACGCGUAAAGAACUUGCCUCCCAGGUAGGGACAACAUUUGGAAACGAAUGCUACUACCUAAUACUGUGAGAGAGCUUUGCGUCCCAUUAGCUAGUUGGAGAGGUAACGGCUCACCAAGGCGGUGAUGGGUAGCCGGCCUGAGAGGGUGAUCGGGCAAUAGGGGACAGAGACACGGCCCUGAAACCUAAGGGAGGCAGCAGUGGGGAAUAUUAGACAAUGGACAAAAGUCUGAUCCAGCAAUGAUGUGUGAAAGAUGAAGUUUUCGGAAUGUAAAGUGCUUGCCGUUGGGAAGCGGUACCAACAGAAGAAGUGACGGCUAAAUACGUGCCAGCAGCCGCGGUAAUUC
rnacentral:rRNA from 1 species